AUUGAACGCUGGCGGCAUGCCUUACACAUGCAAGUCGAACGGUAACAGAUCUUCGGAUGCUGACGAGUGGCGAACGGGUGAGUAAUACAUCGGAACGUGCCUAGUAGUGGGGGAUAACUACGCGAAAGAGUGGCUAAUACCGCAUGAGAUCUACGGAUGAAAGCAGGGGAUCGCAAGACCUUGUGCUACUAGAGCGGACGAUGGCAGAUUAGGUAGUUGGUGGGAUAAAAGCUUACCAAGCCGACGAUCUGUAGCCGGUCUGAGAGGACGAUCAGCCACACUGGGACUGAGACACGGCCCAGACUCCUACGGGAGGCAGCAGUGGGGAAUUUUGGACAAUGGGCGCAAGCCUGAUCCAGCAAUGCCGCGUGCAGGAUGAAGGCCUUCGGGUUGUAAACUGCUUUUGUACGGAACGAAAAGCCCUGGGUUAAUACCCUGGGGUCAUGACGGUACCGUAAGAAUAAGCACCGGCUAACUACGUGCCAGCCGCCGCCGUAAUAC
rnacentral:rRNA from 1 species